rnacentral:rRNA from 1 species
AUUGAACGCUGGCGGCAGGCUUAACACAUGCAAGUCGAGCGGAGAGAGGUAGCUUGCUACCGAUCUUAGCGGCGGACGGGUGAGUAAUGCUUAGGAAUCUGCCUAUUAGUGGGGGACAACAUUUCGAAAGGAAUGCUAAUACCGCAUACGUCCUACGGGAGAAAGCAGGGGAUCUUCGGACCUCGCGCUAAUAGAUGAGCCUAGGUCGGAUUAGCUAGUUGGUGGGGUAAAGGCCUACCAAGGCGACGAUCUGUAGCGGGUCUGAGAGGAUGAUCCGCCACACUGGGACUGAGACACGGCCCAGACUCCUACGGGAGGCAGCAGUGGGGAAUAUUGGACAAUGGGCGCAAGCCUGAUCCAGCCAUGCCGCGUGUGUGAAGAAGGCCUUAUGGUUGUAAAGCACUUUAAGCGAGGAGGAGGCUACUUUAGUUAAUACCUAGAGAUAGUGGACGUUACUCGCAGAAUAAGCACCGGCUAACUCUGUGCCAGCAGCCGCCGUAAAAC